GAUGAAGAACGCAGCGAAAUGCGAUAAGUAAUGCGAAUUGCAGAAUUCAGUGAGUCAUCGAAUCUUUGAACGCACAUUGCGCCCUGUGGUAUUCCGCAGGGCAUGCCUGUUCGAGUGUCAUUUCAACCCUCAAGCCCCGCUUGGUGUUGGGCCCCGCCCGCUGUGGCCGGCCCUAAAGACAGUGGCGGCGCCGCCUGGCCCUCAGCGUAGUACAUCUCUCGCUCCAGGGUCCGGUGGCCGCCUGCCAGAACCCCCCAACUCUGUGGUUGACCUCGGAUCAGGUAGGGAUACCCGCUGAACUUAAGCAUAUCAAUAAGCGGAGGA
rnacentral:misc_RNA from 1 species